rnacentral:rRNA from 1 species
AUGGGCCCUCUUGUGGUAGAACCACAUGUCAACAAUGUAACUAUUUACACUCCGAAGGACGACGCAAUUGUGCUGGCCUUCAUGAUUCCAGGACCUGGAAUCAUACCGGCCGAUGGGAAUCAAGCGUCCAUGCGAUGGAUAAAUUUUGCAAACCCGACAUGUGGCGAUGUGAAUUACCAAUGCAAGUUGAAGAAGGAUUGGCCUGUGCUGCCGGCUGGCGUCAAGUUCGAUCCCACGGAUCAGGAGCUGAUCGAGCACCUUGAGGCCAAAGUGAGUGCUGACAGCGCGAGAUUUCAGUCUCUCAUUGAUUUGUUCAUACCAACCAUCAACAGCGAGCACGGCAUAUGCUACACCCAACCUGAGAAACUUCCAGGUAUCACACUGAGUGGCCUAAGGAAGCAUUUCUUCCAGCGCAAUUCCAGGGCUUUCAAAAGGGGCAUGUGGACGCGUCGCAAGAUACAGUCGGAGUGCGGCAUGCAAACGAUGUGGCACAAGACCGGCAAUACCUUGCCGGUGAUGGUAAACGGCCGGCAGACGAGCAGCAAAAAAGGUUCUGGUGCUGCACACCAACAAGAACUUCAACCAGCAGAGGACCAAGUGGGUGAUGCACUAGUACCACCUCAGGGACCUGGAGCAAUAGAAGGAGCGGGACACUAG